rnacentral:rRNA from 1 species
AUGGCCGCCAAGAGGAAGCUCGGCAGGCCGCCGCCGCCGGCGGCUGCGGCUCCAGCGGCGCCGAAGGCUAAGGCCAAGGCGAAGGCCAAGGAAGACGACGCGGAGGGGCUCUUCUCCUCGCGCUCCUUCGCCGACCUCGGCCUCCACCCCACCCUCUGCGCCCACCUCCAAGAUAAGAUGGGUUUCCAGGGGCCGACGCGGAUCCAGGCCCAGGCGAUCCCCGUCGCCAUGUCAGGGCAGCACCUGCUCGUGAAGGCAGCGACCGGCACCGGGAAGACGCUCGCGUACCUCGCGCCGAUCGUCCACCUCCUCCAGAUGAGGGAGCCUCGUGUCGAGAGAACUCACGGAACUUUUGCGUUGGUAAUUGUUCCAACGCGAGAGCUGUGCUUGCAGGUUUAUGGGAUUGCGCAGCAGUUGGUGCAUCGCUUUCACUGGCUUGUCCCUGGGUAUGUAAUGGGUGGUGAGAGCAGAUCAAAAGAGAAAGCAAGACUGCGGAAAGGAAUAUCAAUCCUAAUUGCCACUCCUGGGCGCCUUCUGGACCACUUACAGCAUACUUCAUCAUUUGUUUAUUCAAAUUUGCGCUGGAUAGUUUUCGAUGAAGCUGACAGCAUUCUUGAGCUUGGUUUUGGAAAAGCAGUCGAGGAUAUACUAGGGCUCUUGGGUUCCAGGAAUGAUGCUUCCGAUGAGAAUAAAAGCAAAACUGACCCUAUGCAAAGGCAAAACCUUCUCUUAUCAGCAACUCUCAACGAAAAGGUGAACCGCUUAGCCAACAUUAGUUUGAAGAACCCAGUGAUGAUUGGACUUGACGAACAAAACAAGCCUUCUGAGAGGUCCAGUGCCCUAGGGAAGAAGCACACUUCCUUAUUAUCUGAUGAUGAGGACGAAAUGCCUAAAAAGCACAAUAAUGUAGUGGAACCUGCGGUUGAUGAUUUUAAGCUUCCUGCACAGUUGGUUCAAAGAUAUGUUAAAGUUUCAUGUGGUUCGAGGCUUGCGGUUCUCCUUACCAUUCUGAAAUCUCAAUUUGAAAGACAAGUGUCCCAGAAGGUUGUUGUUUUCAUGUCAACAUGUGACGCUGUAGAUUUCCACCACACUGUACUCAGCCAGCUUGAGUGGAGCCGUGGCCUCGCAUUAGACACAGAUAAGAAGCAAAAAUUUCUUGGCUGCAAGGUGUUCCGUCUACAUGGUAACAUGGACCAGGAAGACCGCAAAAAGUCAUACCUGGGAUUCAGUUCUGAAAAAUCUGCAAUCCUUGUAUGUACUGAUGUUGCUGCCAGAGGCUUGGACAUUCCGAAAGUUAGGUGCAUCAUACAGUAUGAUUCACCUGGGGAGGCUUCUGAAUAUGUUCACAGGGUUGGAAGAACUGCAAGGAUUGGUGAAAAGGGAGAGGCCCUCCUGUUUCUCCAACCUGUCGAACUUGACUACUUGAAAGACCUAGAGCUACAUGGUGUAUCUCUGACAGAAUACCCCUUCCAAAAGGUUUUAGACGGUUUCCCCGUGAAUGGGGAGAAGCCUCUCAAGAGGAAGCCAAUAUCUUUAGAUAUGCACCCAUGGAUACUCUCUGUACAGAGAACGCUGGAAAAUUACGUCGCAUCCGAGGCCACAACAAAUAAGCUUGCCAGAGAUGCCUUCUGUUCCUGGCUUCGCGCUUACACCGCCCACCGCGGUGAGCUGAAGAAGAUUUUCAUGGUGAAGAAGCUCCACCUGGGACAUGUCGCGAGAAGCUUCGGGUUGAAGGAGCAACCCUCGCUGGUCGGGAGGUCGCACCAGGUGCAACUCAAGAAGAGGAAGAAAGAACAGAAACGCGAAGGACAAGGACCGACCAAACGGAGAAAAUUCCCCACCAAGAAGUGA